rnacentral:tRNA from 1 species
AAGAAACACAAGAACUGCUAAUUCAUGUUACCAUGAAUAAAAUCAUGGCUUUCUUA